GUUAUGGUGUCUUAUUUUUGUUUGGGUGUUGAUUUUUAGAUUUAGAUUUUUCUGGAAGGUAUAUCUUUUUCAGUGUUUGUGUGUAGUGCUGCUGAUUUAACAUGUGUUAAUAAAGUGGAAACAUCUUUGUACUCUAGGACCUACUACAUCAGAAAUUAGUAGAAAGGAUGUUAUGUACAUUUUAAUAGAAAACGAAAUGACGGAGGAUAAUUUAAUCAAAUGGCUUUGGAAUUAGCAGAACCAAUUCGAAUAUUUGAGGAUAAUGAAGGUGUCCGAUACCAAAGAAUUGCAAGACUGAUUUAUCACAUCCAGCGCGUUUCAGAGCAGCGAGAUAUUUGAUGUUUAGAAAAUGAUCUACCACACCUGGAAGUGGAUAUUGCAGAUGAGGUUGGAAAUGAGGAAAGCAACCAAAUAGCAAAUAUGCCCUUAUAACAAAUAAAAAUAUGUUUUCGAA